AUUCUUGGAGUAAUAACUGUCUUGAAGAAUAUGUAACAGCAAUAUGCAAUGACAUUAUCAUGGAAGCAUGUUACUUGAAAGCAAGUAUUGACUAAUCAAGAUGAUCAAGUGGUGUGUAUCAGAGUUAAUAUUUCUUGACUUGUGACUGUCU